rnacentral:rRNA from 1 species
AUGCGGGCAACUUCUUAGAGGGACUUUGCGUGUCUAACGCAAGGAAGUUUGAGGCAAUAACAGGUCUGUGAUGCCCUUAGAUGUUCUGGGCUGCACGCGCGCUACACUGAUGCACUCAACGAGUUUACGACCUUGUCCGAGAGGAUUGGGUAAUCUUUUUAAAAUGCAUCGUGAUGGGGAUAGAUUAUUGCAAUUAUUAAUCUUCAACGAGGAAUUCCUAGUAAGCGCGAGUCAUCAGCUCGUGCUGAUUACGUCCCUGCCCUUUGUACACACCGCCCGUCGCUCCUACCGAUUGAGUGAUUCGGUGAAUAAUUCGGACUGCAGCAAUGUUUGGAUCCCGAACGUUGCAGCGGAAAGUUUAGUGAACCUCAUCACUUAGAGGAAGGAGAAGU